rnacentral:rRNA from 1 species
CUGCUUUUGUACGGGAAGAAACACUCCGACGUGUCGGAGCUUGACGGUACCGUAAGAAUAAGGAUCGGCUAACUCCGUGCCAGCAGCCGCGGUAAUACGGAGGAUCCAAGCGUUAUCCGGAAUCAUUGGGUUUAAAGGGUCCGUAGGCGGUUUAAUAAGUCAGUGGUGAAAUCUGGUCGCUCAACGAUCAAACGGCCAUUGAUACUGUUAGACUUGAAUUAUUAGGAAGUAACUAGAAUAUGUAGUGUAGCGGUGAAAUGCUUAGAUAUUACAUGGAAUACCAAUUGCGAAGGCAGGUUACUACUAAUGGAUUGACGCUGAUGGACGAAAGCGUGGGGAGCGAACAGGAUUAGAUACCCUGGUAGUCCACGCCGU